rnacentral:precursor_RNA from 15 species
UACUAUUCUGCUGAAGGUCCCGUCAGAGCUAGGCAAGAUGUUGGCAUAGCUGAAUGAUCGCUAUAACAACUAUCAGCUUCGCCACAUUCUGCCACGCACUGAUGUGAGGACCUGAUUUUUUGAAAA